rnacentral:rRNA from 1 species
UACAGGGGGGGCAAGCGUUGUUCGGAAUUACUGGGCGUAAAGGGUCUGUAGGUGGCCAACUAAGUCAGACGUGAAAUCCCCAGGCUCAACUUGGGAACUGCGUCUGAUACUGGAUGGCUUGAAUUCGGGAGAGGGAUGCAGAAUUCCAGGUGUAGCGGUGAAAUGCGUAGAUAUCUGGAGGAAUACCGGUGGCGAAGGCGGCAUCCUGGACCGAGAUUGACACUGAUGAGCGAAAGCUUGGGGAGCGAACAGG